rnacentral:rRNA from 1 species
ACAUCCAGAGAAUUUAGCAGNGAUGCUUUAGUGCCUUCGGGAACUCUGAGACAGGUGCUGCAUGGCUGUCGUCAGCUCGUGUUGUGAAAUGUUGGGUUAAGUCCCGNAACGAGCGCAACCCUUAUCCUUUGUUGCCAGCACGUAAUGGUGGGAAACUCAAAGGAGACUGCCGGUGAUAAACCGGAGGAAGGUGGGGAUGACGUCAAGUCAUCAUGGCCCUUACGAGUAGGGCUACACACGUGCUACAAUGGCGCAUACAAAGAGAAGCGACCUCGCGAGAGCAAGCGGACCUCAUAAAGUGCGUCGUAGUCCGGAUUGGAGUCUGCAACUCGACUCCAUGAAGUCGGAAUCGCUAGUAAUCGUAAAUCAGAAUGUUACGGUGAAUACGUUCCCGGGCCUUGUACACACCGCCCGUCACACCAUGGGAGUGGGUUGCAAAAGAAGUAGAUAGCUUAACCUUCGGGAGGGCGUUUACCACUUUGUGAUUCAUGACUGGGGUGAAGUCGUAACAAGGUAAGCGUAGUGCU